rnacentral:rRNA from 1 species
UACGAGGGGGGCAAGCGUUGUUCGGAAUUAUUGGGCGUAAAGGGUGCGUAGGCGGUGCGGUAAGUCUGUUGUGAAAUCUCCGGGCUCAACUCGGGAGUCUCGCAUCAGAAACUGCCGUGCUGGAGUGUGGGAGAGGUGGAGUGGAAAUUCCCCGGUGUAGCGGUGAAAUGCGUAGAGAUCGGGAGGAACACCUGCGGCGAAAGCGGCUCACUGGACCAUAACUGACGCUGAUGCACGAAAGCUAGGGGAGCAAACAGG